GAGACGAGUAACUAUAUAAAUAUGAUGAGGAAGCUGAGGCAAAGAGCACAGAAAGGCCUUGCAGCUUGAUCAAGAUCAUGUACAUGUGUUCUUCCUUGGAUUAAAGGACUAGGAGAAAACCCUGCAACCCUGUGAGUCCGCCCGUUUGUUGAAAUCAGUUCAAGAUCAUCCAGGUCUGCAAAACUCGGCUGAAGCAGCUUGUUGCAUAAUUUACCAGAGAAGAGAGGGCCAUCUGGAGAGCCAAUCUGGAGAACUCGAGCAAAGGCAGAGUCUUUUUUUUUCUCCCCCUCUUAAGUUAUCCUUAUUGACUCUCUGCCUAUAUUAGGCCUCCGCACUCCUUGGCCUGCAUUAUGAAAGAUGGCUCUCCAGGUCAAAGGCCUUGGCCUUCUGGCAUCGAACUCUGACAGAGUACUACCUGGCCCACAAAUGCCAGUAGCCGC
ensembl:lncRNA